rnacentral:rRNA from 1 species
CCUACGGGGGGCUGCAGUGGGGAAUAUUGGACAAUGGGGGCAACCCUGAUCCAGCCAUGCCGCGUGUGUGAAGAAGGCCCUCGGGUUGUAAAGCACUUUCAGUGAGGAAGAACGCCUGGUGGUUAAUACCCAUCAGGAAAGACAUCACUCACAGAAGAAGCACCGGCUAACUCCGUGCCAGCAGCCGCGGUAAUACGGAGGGUGCGAGCGUUAAUCGGAAUUACUGGGCGUAAAGCGCGCGUAGGUGGCUUGAUAAGCCGGUUGUGAAAGCCCCGGGCUCAACCUGGGAACGGCAUCCGGAACUGUCAAGCUAGAGUGCAGGAGAGGAAGGUAGAAUUCCCGGUGUAGCGGUGAAAUGCGUAGAGAUCGGGAGGAAUACCAGUGGCGAAGGCGGUCUUCUGGACUGACACUGACACUGAGGUGCGAAAGCGUGGGUAGCAAACAGGAUUAGAUACCCCUGUAGUC